rnacentral:snoRNA from 1 species
UGCACGCUCCUUAGAUCCGUUUCAUUAUCAAUGUGAAACGCUUGAGUCAUAAGUGUGCAAGAGCAUGGUACCUCCAAUUUAAGACUGACAUGUGCACUUUUUCAUAGAAGUGCAAUUGUCUUGAAAUGGGGAACAA